GGCUUUGAGGCUGUUAAAGCAUCAGAGGCCAUGUUUCCAUGCUCAGGUGCAGCCCCGGUGUGAACUUCCCCACCAGAAGCUGCUCAGACAGCAGCACAAGGUUGCACCUCAGCUCGAAGCCCACAGCCAUGCAACAAAAUGGCCGCCAGCGCUAACGGCCCACAGCCAUGCAACAAAAUGGCCGCCAGAACUAACGGCCCACAGCCAUGCAACAAAAUGGCCGCCAGUCCAGGCUGUCAGCAGCCCCUGUGGCUUGGGUGCAACUACCAUCACUGUGUGGAUACACCCCAAAAACUCAGUUGUGGUUUUUAAAACAUUAGGCAAACACAUAUUCGGGUUAAAAAAUUGAACAUUUUUCUCCUGGCCGUUGCAACAGUUACUAGCACUUGGGUGGAGGGAGGGAUGAAGAACCACACAUGACCAAGUGACAACAUUUGUUUACACCACAGGAACUCUGCAGACUUCAUUGGAUCUACUCAGUUUGCACUUGUAGCAAGAAGAGAGGUCACAAAUUUCUAAUUCUACAGAAACCUGCAGGUAUGUUUGCAUGGAUUAACGCUUCUUUUUUGUCAUUUCUUUCUCUCUCCCUAUAUUCAACUUGAGCUGGAAAGAGUAAUGUUUUAAUCUUCUUGAAAUGACUUUUCUCAUGAAGCAAAAGUUACUGCUUACAGCGGAACAUAGUCAUAUUAGGAAGACAAACUGUCAAGAGAGGUGACCCUCUACAAUGCAUCCAUUCAUCAGGAUCAACCAAGGAAAGCCUUUCAGCUUACUUCAGCGGAGCAGAGAACCAGGACCUCCACCAUUAUCCCAGCCAAAAAAUGAGAACAUUGUAAGGCUAAAGGCUAAAAGAGCUACAUGUGCCAGAAGACAACAUUCUUUGGGAGAGAUGGUGCACAGGACAGCAUGGGAACCAGGCUUUGCUUUUUGUGGUGGUUCAGGACACUUCCAGGCCUCCUCUGCUAGCAUUCCAAGGGGUAGCCAGGUUACCCUGCACCAUGAGUGACUACUUUAGGACAGUGCUACAUCUUGGAAAACAAGGCAUAUUAACUUGGGCUCACCUCUGCAGCCAUGCAACCACCCAACUUUGAACUGGCUCGAAGAACUAGAAGAAGAAACUCAGUUCUUCCCACAGCAUAUCAUGGAAAGAUUUUCUCAGAGUUUUGUUUUCUUUAAGAACUUGCAAGUUACGCAAUAAAAAGUAAUGCUUAGCACUUGCA
rnacentral:lncRNA from 1 species